CUGAAAGGCAACACAGUCAUUGGUCACAGCCAGCACAGCUUCAUGAGAAGCAAGUCCUGCUUAUCAAGCUGGUUCCCUUUUUUGACAGGAUGACCCACCCAGCUGAUCAAGGGAAGCCAGUUAAUGUUUUGAUACCGUCUCUCACAGGAUCCUUCUGGACCUAAUGUGCAGCCCACAGCUGGAUAAACACAUCAUGGGAUGGGCAAGCAGCUCAGCUGGGUCAUGGGUCAGGCACAAAGGGUUACAGUGAAUGGGGUGACAUCAGACUGGGAACCUGUCACUGGUGGGUUCCACAGGGCCCCAUCCUCAGCCCUCUGAUCUUCAACAUCUUCAAAAGUGAUCUGGACACAGAAGUGGGAGGAAUACUGAGCAAGUCCACAGAUGAUACAAAACUGGGAGGAGCUGGUGAACUGCAACUAUCAGGAUGCAGGUCAUGCAAUUGACCAAUACAGUGGUGAAAAAAUAUUGAGAUCGGAUGUUGUUUGAGAUAUAUCAACAUAGACUCUACCAAAUUAAGCCUGCCUCUGAUCAAGAAGAGCUGUAAGGCUUGCCUCCUAAGACUCUGUAUUCACCAGCUGUAGAGGGGAUGCUGCUGUGGACCAGCUCUGUGGGUCAGUGCAAAACCCACAUCACCCUGAGAUGAGUCCUUAUCCUGCACACAAGUUUCAGGUUUCAAGGCACAUUCAUGCCCUACCCUGACCACUCUGAAGGAAAGCAAUAUGUGUCUUUCUGUUUUCACACUAUGCCAUGGGCAUCAAGUUAAGGAGGCAAGACUUCCAAACACACUGCAGUGAACGUUUGACCAGUCAACUCUGCUCAGUUAGAUUUGACAGAUGACUGACAUAAGCUCCCUGGCUAUAUUAAGACAAAGCAAGUUGCCUGAGUGGCUUCUCCAGCAGCUCAACAGUGUCAGCAGUGAUGCAAGAGAAACUGGAGAUCACCAUUAGUCUUUAAAUUGCCCUACAGAUUCUGGACAGAAUCAGCAUAAAUAAUAUUUUUCUUAACCUGUCAGAAGUAAGGCCAAAGUGUUUUUUACAUAUGAUACCAGUUGUAUCACAAAGUUCAUGGCUGUGCCAGAGAUUCAUAUGCACACUGAAGGGAUUAAAGACAAGCAUAAAGAGUAACAUUUGAACAAAUGUCUCAAAUAUUCUGUAGUGCACCACUUGGAUGCUGGGGUAAAAAUUUGCCUUAAUCAAGCUGUUUUCAAACUAAAGGACAACCAUCUUUAACUGGAGACAGAGUUUUUGUGCUGAUCUCUUUCCCACUCCAUGAGCCACCACUGUACAACUGCUAAACUCAGAAAAUUUACUGAGAAACUUUGUGCAGAAACUUUGCCCAGGCACACCUGGACAGACAGAUACACUCACCUGCCUUCUUGAUGUCAACAAAUUUCCAGAAUCUUCCAGAGAGAAGACUGACCCUGUCCAAAACUCCUUACAGAGGAUGUACUGGAGAAUUUAUUGGAAGAACCAGAAAACAAAUUUUCCAUGCAUACAUUGGCCCCUACCCCUGACAGUGCAGGACUGUGUAUCAUGACUACAGGCCACAGACACACACAUAUCAUCGGAGCCAUGGGUAGUGAUUAUCUAUCUAUCUAUCUAUCUAUCUAUCUAUCUAUCUAAUCUAUCCAUCUAAUCUCUUCUUAUAUCUAUUUCUCCUCUUUCCUUUGCAAUUUUCCUCUCAUAGGAUGAUCAUAAACUUCAGAAUGGCUAUAGACCCCUUUUCCAAUACUUAUUUUCGAUUUUCGAGUUAGAUUUCAAAGCAAUUUCUCAAAUAAAAUUCAUUUUAAUAC